GAUGAACGCUGGCGGCGUGCCUAACACAUGCAAGUCGAGCGAUUUACUUCGGUAAAGAGCGGCGGACGGGUGAGUAACGCGUGGGUAACCUGCCCUGUACACACGGAUAACAUACCGAAAGGUAUGCUAAUACGAGAUAAUAUGCUUUUAUCGCAUGGUAGAAGUAUCAAAGCUUUUGCGGUACAGGAUGGACCCGCGUCUGAUUAGCUAGUUGGUAAGGUAACGGCUUACCAAGGCGACGAUCAGUAGCCGACCUGAGAGGGUGAUCGGCCACAUUGGAACUGAGACACGGUCCAAACUCCUACGGGAGGCAGCAGUGGGGAAUAUUGCACAAUGGGCGAAAGCCUGAUGCAGCAACGCCGCGUGAGCGAUGAA
rnacentral:rRNA from 1 species